rnacentral:lncRNA from 1 species
GCCGAGGCCGGAGGAUGAGCUCCGCGGGGUCCGGAUUUAUGAAAAUAUGCAUCAGCUUCAUACUGUCUUGGAAUUCAUGAGAUGGAAGCAUAGGUCAAAGCUGUUUGAAGAAAAUUGGAAGUGCACUUUAAUAGCCACAUCUCCAAGGAAUCAGAAGAAAGCAGUGGGAGGUGGAGUCAUUGUUCAAGUGAUUUCAUCCUCAACAAGAAAAUUUCAUUGAGUAAAGUCAUUUGAAUUAGUGGAAUAACAGUUAUUCAAGGUGACAGUGUACAGAAUAUUAAAAUUGAACAAUGACUCAAAAAAACAAAAAAAAGUAAAGGCCAAUACAUCCAUAAAAUGCCUUCUAGCCAAGCAUAGUGGUGCAAGCCUAUAAUCCCAGCACUUGGGAGGCUGAAGCAGGAGGAUUGCUGUGAAUUCAAAGCCAGCCUGAAUUAUACAGUGAGAUGCUGUCUCAAAAACAAAACUAAACCCCAGACACCUUCUAAAAUCAAGCAUGGUGGAUGUUACAUACACUUGUCCCAGGAUGGGGGACAGGUGAAUUUGCUUACAGUGAGUAGAAGUAUGAAAAAAUAAAAAAUAAAAAACCUGGCAUAAAGCUCUUCAAUAAUGUUACAUUUCCAGCCUUUGGAUCAGUCUUGGUUAUUGCAAGACUUCUGACUUCCUUAAUUUUUACAGUAGGAAAUCCUAUAUACUAAGAAAAACAAAAGAAAGCCAGAAGACUGAAAUUCUCUUAAAAUCUAAUCAGAUAACAUCACAUGUAUUUUGUAAGCAGCUUCAUUGAGGGAAAGCCUAUUUUCAGAGGAACCUACAAAGGUGAAGAUCAUGAUGUAAUAGCCUUGGGGAUAACCUAGAAUGAUUCUCAUGUCCUGAGAUUCUCCUCCCACGCCCAAUGGGAGACGAACUGAUCACCCAAGUGAGCGUGCGAACUUCUGAGGCCAGAUAAUAAAGGCCAUGCUCUUCGCAAUCUCUUGCUCUGCGGGAAGCCAGCUGCAUGGGUACAGGGACCCCAGAAGUCAGACCUAUGUGCAGAGGGGCUCGUGGAAGCCUGCCAAGCACUGGCAGCCGAGGGAACCCCUCAGAGCCCUUGUGAGCCCUGAGAAGCGUCAGUGACCAGUCACAGCCAACUGAAGAUUGUGAGAAAAUCCAGCUGGCAUUAUCCAAAGAAGCUGAGCUGUAACACAUGUUUAUUAUUGUGGAGCCACAAAGGUUUGUGGUCAUUUCUUUUACAGCAUAGAUACCUGAUGUACAUGCUACUUUUUCUUUUUCCUAUUGGUGCUGGAAUUGAAUACAGGGCUUCAUGCAUACUAAGCACGUGCUCGACCACUGAGCUACACUCCCAGCCCCUACAUGC